UACGGGGGGGGCAAGCGUUGUUCGGAAUUACUGGGCGUAAAGGGCUCGUAGGCGGCCAACUAAGUCAGACGUGAAAUCCCUCGGCUUAACCGGGGAACUGCGUCUGAUACUGGAUGGCUAGAGGUUGGGAGAGGGAUGCGGAAUUCCAGGUGUAGCGGUGAAAUGCGUAGAUAUCGGGAGGAACAUCUGUGGCGAAGGCGACACCCUGGACCAGCACUGACACUGAGGCACGAAAGCGUGGGGAGCAAGCAGG
rnacentral:rRNA from 1 species